GAGACAGCAGUCGCCGCGGUAAUACAGAGGAUGCAAGCGUUAUCCGGAAUGAUUGGGCGUAAAGCGUCUGUAGGUGGCUUUUCAAGUCCGCCGUCAAAUCCCAGGGCUCAACCCUGGACAGGCGGUGGAAACUGCCAAUCUAGAGUAUCGGAGAGGAAAGUGGAAUUCCUAGUGUAGCGGUGAAAUGCGUAGAUAUUAGGAAGAACACCAGUGGCGAAGGCGGCUUUCUGGACUGUAACUGACGCUGAGGCUCGAAAGCCAGGGGAGCGAACGGGAUUAGAUACCCCAGUAGUCCCUGUCUCUUAUAC
rnacentral:rRNA from 1 species